rnacentral:lncRNA from 1 species
CUUUAAGAAAACCAUCUGGACUAGAAAAGGUGCUCUGGCAGAGAUUAGUAAGAAUAAGGCAAAAAGCUCGCAACAAGGAUAGUAGAGUAAGAAAAGAACAACAGAAAAGUAAGAAAAAAACAACAGAAAAAGAAGCUCAGUAGCAGCAAGUAAGGUCUUCCCUUACUCUAUUUCCUCAAAGGAAGAAAUAGUCGGGAAGUAGAUAGAGCGG